UUUCCGUAGGUGAACCUGCGGAAGGAUCAUUAUUGAAUGAAACACUUGUAGUUUUGAACUGUUGCUGGCCUUGUAGAAGAGGUAUGUGCACGUUCAUGCUGCAAUUUCCUUCAUCCACCUGUGCACUACUGUAGAUCUGGAUAUCUCUCGCGUCUUUGAUGCGGAUUGAAGGGUUGCGUUCUGUACGCUCCCUUUGCUUUCCAGGUCUAUGUUUUAUACAAACUCUGAAUGUUUAGAAUGUUUUUUAAAUGGACUUAGUCCUUUAAACUAUAUACAACUUUCAACAACGGAUCUCUUGGCUCUCGCAUCGAUGAAGAACGCAGC
rnacentral:misc_RNA from 1 species